rnacentral:rRNA from 1 species
CGAGGUGGAGCAAAUCCCUAAAAGCCAUCCCAGUCCGGAUUGCAGGCUGAAACCCGCCUGUAUGAAGUUGGAAUCGCUAGUAAUCGCGGAUCAGCAUGCCGCGGUGAAUACGUUCCCGGGCCUUGUACACACCGCCCGUCACACCAUGAGAGUCGGGAACACCCGAAGUCCGUAGCCUAACCGCAAGGGGGGCGGCGGCCGAAGGUGGGUUCGAUAAUUGGGGUGAAGUCGUAACAAGGUAGC